UACGUAGGGGCCUAGCGUUGUCCGGAAUUAUUGGGCGUAAAGAGCUCGUAGGCGGUUCGGCAAGUCGGAUGUGAAAUCUCCACGCUUAACGUGGAGGGGCCAUUCGAAACUGCUGUGACUCGAGUCCGGUAGGGGAGUGUGGAAUUCCCGGUGUAGUGGUGGAAUGCGUAGAUAUCGGGAGGAACACCAGUGGCGAAGGCGGUUGCCUGGGGCUUUGCUGACGCUGAUGCGCGAAAGCGUGGGGAGCGAUCCGG
rnacentral:rRNA from 1 species